UGUUGGCAAAUCUGUGAAACAAUAGCGCAGGUGUCCUAAGGCAAGCUCAAUGACAACAGAAAUCUCAUGCUGACCAACAGGGGAAAAGCUUGCUUGAUUUGG
rnacentral:ncRNA from 1 species